GAGGAUUUAGCUUAAUUAAAGUGUUUGAUUUGCAUUCAAUAGAUGUAAGAUAAAUUCUUGCAGUCCUUA
rnacentral:tRNA from 1 species